UGCGCGCGAGUCAUGGGUCUUGAAUAAGCCCGGCGGCGUAAUGAAAGUACAGGCCGGCGGAGGUCGGCCGCAUUCGGGAUCCCCGUUCCCUCGCGGGCGGGGCGCACCGAAGACCCGCCGCGUUCCACUCGUGGAAGUGGCGGAGUUUGAGCGCACACGUUGGUACCCGAAAGAUGGUGACCUAUGCCUGGACAGGACGAGGCCAGAGGAAACUCUGGUGGAGGUCCGUAGCGGUUCUGACGUGCAAAUCGAUCGUCAGAUCUGGGUCUAGUGGCGUAAGACUAAUCGAACCAUCUA
rnacentral:rRNA from 1 species